ACGAACGCUGGCGGCGUGCCUAAUACAUGCAAGUCGAACGCUUCUUUUUCCACCGGAGCUUGCUCCACCGGAAAAAGAGGAGUGGCGAACGGGUGAGUAACACGUGGGUAACCUGCCCAUCAGAAGGGGAUAACACUUGGAAACAGGUGCUAAUACCGUAUAACAAUCGAAACCGCAUGGUUUUGAUUUGAAAGGCGCUUUCGGGUGUCGCUGAUGGAUGGACCCGCGGUGCAUUAGCUAGUUGGUGAGGUAACGGCUCACCAAGGCGACGAUGCAUAGCCGACCUGAGAGGGUGAUCGGCCACAUUGGGACUGAGACACGGCCCAAACUCCUACGGGAGGCAGCAGUAGGGAAUCUUCGGCAAUGGACGAAAGUCUGACCGAGCAACGCCGCGUGAGUGAAGAAGGUUUUCGGAUCGUAAAACUCUGUUGUUAGAGAAGAACAAGGAUGAGAGUAACUGUUCAUCCCUUGACGGUAUCUAACCAGAAAGCCACGGCUAACUACGUGCCAGCAGCCGCGGUAAUACGUAGGUGGCAAGCGUUGUCCGGAUUUAUUGGGCGUAAAGCGAGCGCAGGCGGUUUCUUAAGUCUGAUGUGAAAGCCCCCGGCUCAACCGGGGAGGGUCAUUGGAAACUGGGAGACUUGAGUGCAGAAGAGGAGAGUGGAAUUCCAUGUGUAGCGGUGAAAUGCGUAGAUAUUAGGAGGAACACCAGUGGCGAAGGCGGCUUACUGGACGAUAACUGACGCUGAGGCUCGAAAGCGUGGGGAGCAAACAGGAUUAGAUACCCUGGUAGUCCACGCCGUAAACGAUGAGUGCUAAGUGUUGGAGGGUUUCCGCCCUUCAGUGCUGCAGCUAACGCAUUAAGCACUCCGCCUGGGGAGUACGACCGCAAGGUUGAAACUCAAAGGAAUUGACGGGGGCCCGCACAAGCGGAGGAACAUGUGGUUUAAUUCGAUGAUACGCGAGGAACCUUACCCGGGCUUGAAAGUUAGUGACGAUUCUGGAAACAGGAUUUCCCUUCGGGGCACGAAACUAGGUGCUGCAUGGUUGUCGUCAGCUCGUGUCGUGAGAUGUUGGGUUAAGUCCCGCAACGAGCGCAACCCUUAUUGUUAGUUGCCAUCAUUUAGUUGGGCACUCUAGCAAGACUGCCGGUGACAAACCGGAGGAAGGUGGGGAUGACGUCAAAUCAUCAUGCCCCUUAUGACCUGGGCUACACACGUGCUACAAUGGGAAGUACAACGAGUCGCAAAGUCGCGAGGCUAAGCUAAUCUCUUAAAGCUUCUCUCAGUUCGGAUUGUAGGCUGCAACUCGCCUACAUGAAGCCGGAAUCGCUAGUAAUCGCGGAUCAGCACGCCGCGGUGAAUACGUUCCCGGGCCUUGUACACACCGCCCGUCACACCACGAGAGUUUGUAACACCCGAAGUCGGUGAGGUAACCUUUUGGAGCCAGCCGCCUAAGGUGGGAUAGAUGAUUGGGGUG
rnacentral:rRNA from 1 species